rnacentral:lncRNA from 1 species
CGCGGAGGCCUUGGAUCGUCGUGUGGAUGCUCUGCGGGGAGGCAUCGAGCGAGGACCUAGUGGAGGAAGGAGGAGAGGACGCCGGAAAAGAUGACCGGAGGCGGUCUCGUUGAGCGCUCCUUUAAGAACAAAGGUACUACGAAGAUACAGGCCCCUUCCUCUAGCGCCAAUUCUGUUGGUGCAGAAAUCCGCCUGCAUCGGAGAAGCUGGAGUCGAG